rnacentral:rRNA from 1 species
AGAUUGAACGCUAGCGGCAUGCCUAACACAUGCAAGUCGAACGGGUAACAGGCCCUUCGGGGUGCUGACGAGUGGCGGACGGGUGAGUAAUGCGUAGGAAUCUACCCACGAGUGGGGGAUAGCCCGGAGAAAUCCGGAUUAAUACCGCAUAUGCCCUACGGGGUAGAGGCGGGGGACCGAAAGGCCUCGCGCAGCAGGAUGAGCCGAUGUCCGAUUAGUUAGUUGGUGGGGUAAAGGCCUACCAAGGUCUACGAUCGGUAGCUGGUCUGAGAAGGGCGACCAGCCGACACGUGGGACUGAGACACGGGCCCAGACUCCUACGGGCGGCAGCCU